AAGCUAUAAAUCGACAAACCAUCUGUAUGGAGUAAGAAAGGACUCAAAGUUCAUGAUUUUCCAUGUGGAUAUCCAACUGAAUCAGCACCAUUAAUUGAGAAGAAAAUCCUUUCUCCAUUGCAUUGUGUGUCAACUUUGUCAUAUAUCAGAAUGAAGUUCAAGAUCCUUAGCCUGAUACUUGUGAGGCCUUCCCUGCUUUGGCGCCCGGCAUCUUUACAGUCAUCUUGCUCUGCCUGCCAACACCUGGACUUGGCUCCAGACGUGCUGAAUCGCUCCUUGAAUGUUUCUCACAUCCUUGUCUGUGCGAAAACUGAAGAGCCACAGCACUGCAGGGAUCCCUUGACCAUGAUGGCUAUGCGGUCACCCAGAAUGUCAGCUUCAUCCAUGUGGUGGGUGGUCAGUAAGACAGUACGAUCCUGUUUACACCGCUGAAGGACAUCCCAGGUGAAUCUCCUCGAGACUGGGUCCAUGCCAGAUGUCGGCUCAUCAAGUAUCACCACCUGAAGACCAGAAGAACAAUUCCAUGGUCAUAUUUAAUUCAUGCUAUGCCCCUUACGGUGUAACUUACUAUUCAUGGGGAACAUAUUUUGGCCAAGAUACAUAAUCUAGAUUAUACUAUAUUAAGAACUCGGCAAAAUUAACAAUACUUUCAAAUUCAUAACCACAUUAUAGCAUCUGGGUCAAUAAUGGGAAUCCCCUCUGAUUAUAAUUUGUGAAGUUCCUUUUAGAGGAGUUAGAUUCAUAUCAGCUGUCAGGUUUGUGUCAGCUGAGUUUUAUAUUUCGGCUAGAGCAGGGAUCCAUGUUAAUCAUUCUUUACCUUGGAUCCUCCUAUAAGUGCUAUAAUGAUGGAGAGUUUGCGCUUCAUUCCUCCACUCAGCGACUGUGAAAGUGCAUCAUGCUUUUCUAGCAGGCCAAAAGCAAGCAGCAUUUUGUCAAUUUCUGUGGGACGCUCCUUGGGAGGUAUUCCUUUUAUCUAGAAAGAGAUGCCUGAGUUUACACGGUGCUUCCAGCUUUAUCCUUAGAAAAUUCUUACAUCAAAACUUUUCUUACACAGCUAUCUUGAUAUAAGACGUUUCUUCUUCCCUUUGCCUCCCUUUAUGGUAAAAGAACAGUGCCUCAAAAAAAAUGAACUUCCACUAAAUAAGGGUAAGGAUGUUGAUCCUUUGUCACACUGCCUGAAGCAUAUGAAAAGAGUAGGGGGAAAGAAUAUAUCUCUGGCUCACCACAGAGUAGAAAUAGAGAUGUUCUGAUACUGUCAAGUCUGGAAACAAUAUGUCAUCCUGGGGGCACAUGCCCAUGCUUUUCCUGACUUGAACCAUGUCUUUUGAGAUAUCAUAUCCAUUAAUAUAGACCUUUCCACGGGUAGGAAGAUAGAAACCUAGAAUUAAGCAGAAGAUAUGACAGAAGCUUAGCUUCAGUGAAAGAACCUGACAACACACUGUCCACUAGCACCCCAACUUCAUAGUCUACUUAUGGAUCACUCAAAAGAAUUAUCAGUAUCUCUUACAGAAGAAAUAGUCUGGUAAAUAUCAAUGGUUACCCUCUGAUGAUGGGGAAAGAAACAAGUUUUUCCUUUUUUUUUGUUUAUCCACAUAUUCCACUUUUCAAGUAUAAAAUAAUAUUAAUUAUUUGAGUAAUAAAAAAUGUUGUGAGGAAUUUGCUGUUCUAAUAUCCUAGUACUGCUCUCUGCCAUUUGACAACAUAUGUGAACCAUAUUAUGAUCUGAACACCGCAUUAUAAACACUGUGUUAGAUUUUUUAAAAAUGAAAAAUUCAUAACACAGGACCCUUAGCCUCAAGAAGUCAAAAUUUAGUUGGAAGAUAAUGCAUAAUCACAUAAAAUAGUCUAAAAAUAUUUACAAAGCAUUUAUGCAUAGAUGGCAACCAGGCCAGUUUUAUGGUGAAAUAUCUGAUAAUAUACUAAAUAUAGCUACAAAACUUCUUAAAUUCCACGACUCAUUAAUUCUACUUUACAAAAUACACUCUGAAGGGGAAAAAUGUAUUCAAGAUUGUCCAUUACAUUUAGGGUGAUUGAAUGCCCCUAUUUACUCCUGUUGUCUAAGCCUUCUACCCAUUUGGACAUUCGCCCUGGAUUUUUUAUUUGUAACAAAGUGUCAUUAUUAAUGGUGAUACUAAAAUAAAGUGGGAUGGCGGCGGGUUGGAAUACCUUUACUUUGUACAUCCAACCUCUGGAAUUGUUUUUCUAGUAGUAUGUGAGCAGCAUGGCAAUAAAUAAAGUUGUUACA